UCGCCUAUUUCCCAGGACUGUGGGCCUGAUAGUAUCACCGGUGGAAAUCAAAUAGUGGCCAGAAGCCGAGGAGUCCCCGGCAAAUCCGUGUGCCGAUUGGGGUGAACCCAUUGGAAGUCUGUGCGGUUCCUCCGCCCUCCCGGCUGCGUGUCCGGAACGUUCCCGGCUGUCAGGUGGGUGGCGGCGAGCCUGGGCGGGCAAGCCCUGCGGGGCAGCGUGGCGCGCUCGCGGGGUGGAGAGGGAAAGCCCCGCGGAGUGCGGCGCGUCCCACGGCCGGCCGCCGCUCACCUUUGUUGGCCUGUCCUCGCUGCCAGAGAUCGGGCCAAGGAGGUGUGCGGGGAGCGACCCCACAGCUCGCGGCCCUCUCCGGCGCCCGGAGGAACCCGUAGGCAAGCCAGGGACCCUCUCCGGAUCCCUGAACGGCAGCCGGCCCGAGGGAUCAGCAGCCCCUUCCUGAACACAAAGGACCUCUCUGCUGUCCCGCAGGUCCUGCUGUGUCUUCCAAGCACGUGCAACAGGAAGUGUUGGAGAUGUAUCUGCAAACAUAUUGCUACAAGAAAUGUCUGAAGUUUUCCUGCCUAUUUUUCUUCUAGGAUUUUUAUGGUUUCAUGACUUACAUUUAAGUCUUUUAUCCAUUUUGAGUUUGAUUCAGUGAUCUCACUUCUAAGAAUAUAUCCUAAAACCUGGAACCACCAAUCAGAAAGAAGACAUGCACCCCUAUGUUCAUGUCAGCAUUGUUUACAAUAGCUAAGAUCUGGAAACAGCCCAGAUGCCCAUCAGCAGCAUUAUUAAUGGUGGCCAAAACAUAGAAACAACCAGUGUCCUUCGACAGAUGAUUGGAUAAAGGAGAUGUAGUACAUAUAUACAAUGGAACACUACUCAGCCACAAGAAAAGAUGAAUUACUGCCUUUUGCAACAACUGGGGUGGAUCUUGAGACUAUCAAGCUAAGCAAAAUCAGAUGGAAAAAGUCAAGCACCAUGUGAUUUCACUCAUAUGUGGGAUAUAAAACUGAAAGCAACAAAUGAAGAAACAAAAACAACAAAAACUCAUAGACACAGAAAAUAGUGUGAUGGCUACUAGAGAGAAAGGGGUUGGAGGAGGUAGAAGAGGGUUAAGGGGAUCAAACAUAUGGUGAUGAAAAGAGUUUUGACUUUUGGUGGUAAACACACAAUGCAAUAUACAGAGGAUGUAUUAUAGAAUUGUACACUUGGAACCUAUGCCAUUUUAUUAACCAAGGCUACCCCAAUACAUUUAAUUACAAAUUUUUAAAAAAGUAAAAAAAUUCUCAGUUCAUGUUUUCUGCAACUCCUCUGGGUUUUUCUGUUCCUUGCCUGGGAUCUAGGUCCCCCCCCCUCCACC